ACCAAAACACCCAAAGGCCUCGUGGCUUUGGCUUCAUCUCCUUUGACUCUGAGGAUGCAGUGGACCGAGUCCUACAAAAAUCCAAUUUCCAUGACCUUAAUGGAAAGUAUGUUGAGGUCAAGAGAGCCCUACCUAAAGAUGCCAACCCUGGUGGCGGGGGUCGCAACAUGGGGGGUGCGGGGGCCUACCAAGCCAACCCGAAUACCUAUGAGUCAAGGAUGGAUGGGAAUCGAUAUGUUCAACCUCCGGCUGGUGGAGCCGG
rnacentral:lncRNA from 1 species